rnacentral:rRNA from 1 species
AGAGUUUGAUCCUGGCUCAGGAUGAACGCUGGCGGCGUGCUUAACACAUGCUUGUUGAACGAACCUUCGGGUUAGUGGCGGACGGGUGAGUAAUGCGUGAGAAUCUGCCCUCAGGAGGGGGACAACAGCUGGAAACGGCUGCUAAUACCCCAUAUGCCGCGAGGUGAAAUGAAUUUCGCCUGAGGAUGAGCUCGCGUCUGAUUAGCUAGUUGGUGUAGGUAAUGGCUCACCAAGGCAUCGAUCAGUAGCUGGUCUGAGAGGAUGAUCAGCCACACUGGGACUGAGACACGGCCCAGACUCCUACGGGAGGCAGCAGUGGGGAAUUUUCCGCAAUGGGCGAAAGCCUGACGGAGCAACGCCGCGUGAGGGAUGAAGGCCUCUGGGCUGUAAACCUCUUUUAUCAAGGAAGAAGAUCUGACGGUACUUGAUGAAUAAGCCACGGCUAAUUCCGUGCCAGCAGCCGCGGUAAUACGGGAGUGGCAAGCGUUAUCCGGAAUUAUUGGGCGUAAAGCGUCCGCAGGCGGCCCUUCAAGUCUGCUGUUAAAAAGUGGAGCUUAACUCCAUCAUGGCAGUGGAAACUGUUGGGCUUGAGUGUGGUAGGGGCAGAGGGAAUUCCCGGUGUAGCGGCGAAAUGCGUAGAUAUCGGGAAGAACACCAGUGGCGAAGGCGCUCUGCUGGGCCAUCACUGACGCUCAUGGACGAAAGCCAGGGGAGCGAAAGGGAUUAGAUACCCCUGUAGUCCUGGCCGUAAACGAUGAACACUAGGUGUCGGGGGAAUCGACCCCCUCGGUGUCGUAGCCAACGCGUUAAGUGUUCCGCCUGGGGAGUACGCACGCAAGUGUGAAACUCAAAGGAAUUGACGGGGGCCCGCACAAGCGGUGGAGUAUGUGGUUUAAUUCGAUGCAACGCGAAGAACCUUACCAGGGUUUGACAUCCUGCGAAUCUCUUGGAAACAGGAGAGUGCCUUCGGGAACGCAGUGACAGGUGGUGCAUGGCUGUCGUCAGCUCGUGUCGUGAGAUGUUGGGUUAAGUCCCGCAACGAGCGCAACCCACGUCUUUAGUUGCCAGCAUUUAGUUGGGCACUCUAGAGAGACUGCCGGUGAUAAACCGGAGGAAGGUGUGGAUGACGUCAAGUCAUCAUGCCCCUUACAUCCUGGGCUACACACGUACUACAAUGCUACGGACAAAGGGCUGCAAGUUCGCAAGGACAAGCAAAUCCCAUAAACCGUGGCUCAGUUCAGAUCGUAGGCUGCAACUCGCCUACGUGAAGGCGGAAUCGCUAGUAAUCGCAGGUCAGCAUACUGCGGUGAAUACGUUCCCGGGCCUUAUACACACCGCCCGUCACACCAUGGAAGUUGGCCACGCCCGAAGCCGUUACUCCAACCCUUGUGGAGGAGGACGUCGAAGGUGGGGCUGAUGACUGGGGUGAAGUCGUAACAAGGUAACC